UUCUACGAGGUCUGCUGUAAUGACAGCUCAAACCUGUCCACGUCAACACAGGAACAACACCAUGGACUCUGUGGCUCUGGAACCUUCACUAUACACAGUGAAGGCUGUAUUUAUUUUGGACAAUGAUGGGAACAGACUUCUGUCGAAGUACUACGAUCCUGACCUUUACCCAUCUAUGAAGGAACAGAGAAGUUUUGAGAAGAAUGUCUUCAACAAGACCCACAAAGCUGACAAUGAGAUUGCCUUCUUGGAAGGGAUGACAAUUGUCUACAAGGGCAGCAUUGAUCUGUUCUUCUACGUGGUCGGCAGUGCCCAGGAGAACGAGCUUAUGCUGAUGGCUGUCCUGAAUUGCCUGUUUGAAUCACUUAGUCAAAUCUUAAGGAAGAACGUGGAGAGGAGGUGUCUGCUGGAUAACAUGGAUGGAGUCUUCCUGGUGGUGGAUGAGAUCAUCGAUGGCGGGGUAAUUUUGGAGAGUGACCCACAGCAGGUGGUGGAGAAAGUCAACUACAGGGCUGGCUCUGAACAGGCGUUUGGCUUUGUCCUGUUUGACUACAUCACCGGUAAUGUGGAGGCGCAGUCCUCCAGCAGCCAGUAUGCUUAGUCCCACCGCCUCCCCUGCAGGGAGGGAGGGGACGGCAAGCCAGAGGAGACAGAAAGGGCGGACGACAACCCUCUGUCAGAGCAGAGUGUGGCACAGGUAUUACAGUCAGCAAAGGAUCAAAUCAAGUGGUCAAUACUCAAGUGAGCAGUGGACGCUAUGAGGGGCAUGCACCCUUGCACAAGGAUCGGGACAUAGAAGUCUAUAGAGAUUCGCGCUAUGCAGCUAUAAUCUUCAUGUUUUGUCGGGUGACAUUUUGUGUAAAUACUUUGUUUUUGUCGAUAAGGGUAAAAUUCUAUGUACAUAAUAUAUAAUAUUUAUUAGUCUAAACAUGUUUCAGACUCGAAUUAUCAAUUGGUCAAGAGCACAGUAGGCUACAGGCCUGCUUUGGUCCGAGUAGCCUAUAGCCUAGGUCAUUUUUUUAAAGGCUUACCUUACCUUUUAGGGGCACCUUAAAAUUGUUGAAAUUAUUAUUUUUUCUAUGAAGUUAGUCUUUAGUGUAAAAUAUCAAGACUAUGGGUCCCAACGUCCUUUGUCAUUUGAAAGUCAUUUGUUCUUUGGCUGUCACAUCCCAAACCAAGGCCGGGCGGGUGCGGUAGUUCCAGUUAUACAAUCGGAUCAGGAUGAACUCACACACCAAAUACGGCCGAUUUAAUUAAGUAAACUUGUUUAAUAUGAAAGAAAGUAUUGAAGCACCAACGUCCUUCAAUUAAGGGAAAACUUUUGAUGAGACGGGAGACUAUAUUAUAGUUUAGGCCUAGGCUAUGCCUGUAGUUAUUUUUCCAGAAUAAUCAAAUAUUUGUAGGGUUUGAUGACGAGAUGACAGUCUAAUAUAGUUCACUUAAAGACAGAAGGCACUUGUAUCGUAAGCCAUUGUGUUAGAGUAGGCAUAGCCUAUUUGAAAUGUAGUGUUUCAUGAUGUCGACAAUUAUUUCCCUGCAGUGAUCGUUUUUUCAUUUUUAUUGCACACCAAAGAAAGAAACACUAGGCUAUUCUAUCUGUUGUUUUGAACUGAAAUAACACCGCAAUAUUUAUAUACAUUUUUUUUGUUAAAUAUGGACUUUUUGAUUUCACUGCCAACCACAGUUUUAUUGACAGUCUGACUACUUUUUUUAUUUGACGGCUAAGGCCUAUGUGUAGGGGUAGGGUACGAAAAUAAUUGAAUCUUUGUCGGUAAUAAGAUUAAUAGACUAUUUAGAAGGUAAAAUGUUAGUUAAUGUUACUGAGGUAGCCUAUGGAUUGUGUGUUUUGUACAUCACAAAUAAUACUCAUUAUUAAAACUGUGUGUGCACACUCA